UACGAAGGGGGCGAGCGUUGUUCGGAAUUACUGGGCGUAAAGGGCGCGUAGGCGGCCGAGCAAGUUAGAUGUGAAAGUCCUGGGCUUAACCUGGGGACUGCAUUUGAUACUGCUUGGCUUGAAUUCGGGAGAGGAUAGCGGAAUUCCCAGUGUAGAGGUGAAAUUCGUAGAUAUUGGGAAGAACACCGGUGGCGAAGGCGGCUAUCUGGACCGACAUUGACGCUGAGGCGCGAAAGCGUGGGGAGCAAACAGG
rnacentral:rRNA from 1 species